AGAGUUUGAUCAUGGCUCAGGAUGAACGCUAGCUACAGGCUUAACACAUGCAAGUCGAGGGGAAACGAUAUUGGAAGCUUGCUUCCGAUAGGCGUCGACCGGCGCACGGGUGAGUAACGCGUAUCCAACCUGCCCACCACUUGGGGAUAACCUUGCGAAAGUAAGACUAAUACCCAAUGACGUCUCUAGAAGACAUCUGAAAGAGAUUAAAGAUUUAUCGGUGAUGGAUGGGGAUGCGUCUGAUUAGCUUGUUGGCGGGGUAACGGCCACCAAGGCUACGAUCAGGUAGGGGUUCUGAGAGGAAGGUCCCCCACAUUGGAACUGAGACACGGGUCCAAACUCCGUACGGGAGGCGA
rnacentral:rRNA from 1 species